GAUGAACGCUGGCGGCGUGCCUAAUACAUGCAAGUCGAGCGAACAGACAAGGAGCUUGCUCCUUUGACGUUAGCGGCGGACGGGUGAGUAACACGUGGGUAACCUACCUAUAAGACUGGGAUAACUUCGGGAAACCGGAGCUAAUACCGGAUAAUAUUUCGAACCGCAUGGUUCGAUAGUGAAAGAUGGUUUUGCUAUCACUUAUAGAUGGACCCGCGCCGUAUUAGCUAGUUGGUAAGGUAACGGCUUACCAAGGCGACGAUACGUAGCCGACCUGAGAGGGUGAUCGGCCACACUGGAACUGAGACACGGUCCAGACUCCUACGGGAGGCAGCAGUAGGGAAUCUUCCGCAAUGGGCGAAAGCCUGACGGAGCAACGCCGCGUGAGUGAUGAAGGUCUUCGGAUCGUAAAACUCUGUUAUUAGGGAAGAACAUACGUGUAAGUAACUAUGCACGUCUUGACGGUACCUAAUCAGAAAGCCACGGCUAACUACGUGCCAGCAGCCGCGGUAAUACGUAGGUGGCAAGCGUUAUCCGGAAUUAUUGGGCGUAAAGCGCGCGUAGGCGGUUUUUUAAGUCUGAUGUGAAAGCCCACGGCUCAACCGUGGAGGAUCAUUGGAAACUGUAAAACUUGAGUGCAGAAGAGGAAAGUGGAAUUCCAUGUGUAGCGGUGAAAUGCGCAGAGAUAUGGAGGAACACCAGUGGCGAAGGCGACUUUCUGGUCUGUAACUGACGCUGAUGUGCGAAAGCGUGGGGAUCAAACAGGAUUAGAUACCCUGGUAGUCCACGCCGUAAACGAUGAGUGCUAAGUGUUAGGGGGUUUCCGCCCCUUAGUGCUGCAGCUAACGCAUUAAGCACUCCGCCUGGGGAGUACGACCGCAAGGUUGAAACUCAAAGGAAUUGACGGGGACCCGCACAAGCGGUGGAGCAUGUGGUUUAAUUCGAAGCAACGCGAAGAACCUUACCAAAUCUUGACAUCCUUUGACAACUCUAGAGAUAGAGCCUUCCCCUUCGGGGGACAAAGUGACAGGUGGUGCAUGGUUGUCGUCAGCUCGUGUCGUGAGAUGUUGGGUUAAGUCCCGCAACGAGCGCAACCCUUAAGCUUAGUUGCCAUCAUUAAGUUGGGCACUCUAAGUUGACUGCCGGUGACAAACCGGAGGAAGGUGGGGAUGACGUCAAAUCAUCAUGCCCCUUAUGAUUUGGGCUACACACGUGCUACAAUGGACAAUACAAAGGGCAGCGAAACCGCGAGGUCAAACAAAUCCCAUAAAGUUGUUCUCAGUUCGGAUUGUAGUCUGCAACUCGACUACAUGAAGCUGGAAUCGCUAGUAAUCGUAGAUCAGCAUGCUACGGUGAAUACGUUCCCGGGUCU
rnacentral:rRNA from 1 species